rnacentral:rRNA from 1 species
UGGCGGACGGGUGAGUAAUGUCUGGGAAACUGCCCGAUGGAGGGGGAUAACUACUGGAAACGGUAGCUAAUACCGCAUAACGCCGCAAGACCAAAGAGGGGGACCUUCGGGCCUCUUGCCAUCGGAUGUGCCCAGAUGGGAUUAGCUAGUAGGUGGGGUAACGGCUCACCUAGGCGACGAUCCCUAGCUGGUCUGAGAGGAUGACCAGCCACACUGGAACUGAGACACGGUCCAG